UUGUGCCUAACGCUUGCGUCACAGUCUGGCGUCACAGUCUGGUGUCACAGUCUGGCGUCACAGUCUGGCGUCACAGUCUGGCGGGAAUGAUAACCAAAACCUUAGAGUCCUUCGGAUAAGCUACCUGCGGAUCAGGGGGGAAGUCAUUGCAAGCUGAACAGAAGGCUUUGUGUUGAAGGACAGCCAUUGAAGUUCAAAAGGCUUAGCCGAGGUCAAGCUGGCAAUGUCAGAUGAUGCUUAUAUGAUGUGAGCAAGGUCCUGCGAUCUCACGGCGCUCUGGCUUGCUGCUUCUAUCCUGGUCCUUUUUAUUUCAGCAGAAUGGCCGAGUAAACAUGCUUUGAGAUGGGCACAGGCAGGGUCCAGAACUGAAACCCGGUGGAGAGAGGAAGGAUCUUAUGGGUCAAGUGAAGCUGAUUAAAACGUAGAGGAACAUGGACAACAGCUGGUUUUCCUUCGCAUCAGCACUACACACCUGGAGAUGCAGACAUCCUGACCCACCCAGGAGCUGCCUCGGUCAUGGGCUGACUGCAGAAAAGAUGCUUCAGAUGGAUAGGUAUGAUUGUCACAGAUGCAAGGUGUAGAGCCCUGUAUCCAGCUCUUGUUCUUUCUUGUU